rnacentral:misc_RNA from 1 species
UGCCCCUCACUUGCCAAUACGUCUAGAUCAGCCAGGGCGUUGGCAUGUGUAGCGUAUUAUGUUGGGCUCUCUCGAGAUAAGGAUACGAUGUCCCUUUAUCGGUUGGUUUCCUGUGUGCGCGGCCCGUUCGUUUUUUUGUUACUUCACAUCGUUCGGUGCAUUCUGGGGGCUGUGUUGGCUUUUGGUGGCUUGCUUGGCCUUUUGGCUUUGCUUGUUGCUACUUGUCGGGCUGCUUUCGGGAAUGUCAACCGUGGAGGUGCAUGAGUGGUGUUUGGUUUGUUACGUGUGGAUGGCUGUUUGCUUGUGCAACAACGUUCACGCUGCAUACCUCUUCAGUUUUGCGGCAAGGCUUGGUUUGGAUUGUGCAUAUUGUGGGUUUCCUGUGUUGCAUACCUAGUUGAUGGAAAAGUGUGGGUUUUACGAUUUUCAUUUUCGUCUUGCGUCGUUCUUUCGGCGUGGGAUGAACAAUGAAGCGAUCCUUAUGAUCCAUAGUGCUGUUGCGUUUGCAACAAUGGUGUGGCCUAUGAAGCAUCGUUUGGUCUCUUGUAUACGGAAGCUCAUUUGGGCUUGGGUCUUUAUAAGAUCUUCGUUACGCCCUUGUUAAGCGUUCUCGCUUCUUCUAAACGAUUG